rnacentral:rRNA from 1 species
GACGAACGCUGGCGGCGUGCUUAACACAUGCAAGUCGAACGGAAAGGCCCCUUUGGGGGUCCUCGAGUGGCGAACGGGUGAGUAACACGUGAGUAACCUGCCCUUGACUUCGGGAUAACUUCAGGAAACUGGGGCUAAUACCGGAUAGGAAUCCUUGCUGCAUGGUGGGGGUUGGAAAGCUUCAGCGGUUUUGGAUGGACUCGCGGCUUAUCAGCUUGUUGGUGGGGUAGUGGCUUACCAAGGCUUUGACGGGUAGCCGGCCUGAGAGGGCGACCGGCCACAUUGGGACUGGGAUACGGCCCAGACUCCUACGGGAGGCAGCAGUGGGGAAUAUUGCACAAUGGGCGGAAGCCUGAUGCAGCAACGCCGCGUGCGGGAUGACGGCCUUCGGGUUGUAAACCGCUUUCAGCAGGGGCGAAGCUUGUGGUGACGGUACCUGCAGAAGAAGCACCGGCUAACUACGUG